CCCACCAGGAACACUGAUGACCUCUAAAAAGAUCCAGAGGAGGCAUUCAUCCCGCCAGGAGUAGAACGAACGGUAUUCGUCCCGAAAAGGAGAUUCACAGAGGGAAACCACCUUCCAGCCCGACACCGAAAAAAAAAAAAAAAAGGAAAAAAACGGGGAAAAAAACCAUCCCAAAAACCUGCUGACCCAGAUGUUGUAAGAAGUUCACUAAAUGUGUGAGCAGGAACAGACUGACUCCAUCAACGGCUCUCUCCAUGUUUAGAGGCAUGACUGCUUGAAGCAAUUAGGCUCCCCAAUUAGCAUACUCCUCCUGACCCCAGCAGCACCACCAGGUCCUUGCGUUAUCCAUCUCUUCAAAGCAGGCCCUUAGGGUACCACCAGGUGACUUAUAAACACCGUCUGAGGCUUUCAAAUCCAAGCUCCCUCCCACUCGACAUCCCGGCUGCAGGGGUUUCCAGAAAAGGUGACGGCAGGAGUGAGGUAGGAUGUGAUCCUUCCCAGCCCCUUUUCCACCCACAGCCAAGGCCCUUCGUCUCCGUGGGCACCCGGAUCCCAGUGCAUCCCCACCCCAGCCGUGCAUCCGCCCUACAGAGCUGAAAAUGUGUGUCAGGAUGUAUGCGGCUGGUGUCCGAGGGGCCCGAUCCUGCAAAACCCACGGGGCGGCUGGCUUCGGGGAGCCUCUCCUCCUUCCCUGUCUAGAGAAGUCGGUAUCAGCCACCUGCCCAUCACGGAUAAAGAGCCUAAUUCCAUCCCGCAGCCUUCCUGGAAGCCCACAGAGGGGAUCCACGGAGUCAGUGUGCAGCAGAUAGAGUCAUCCACCCUGAGCGUCACAGCACUACGGAAGAAAAAUCUCUAUAAAACGAAAUAGGCAAUCAACUGAAAUCUAUCCUCUUUAAAUAAACUGAUUCCUUAGUAUUUUCCCAGUGUUGCUGUAAGUUGUUGUCUGUGAUGUCCCCCAGGGCUCUUUCCUCUGCUCUCUGAUUUGGUGUAUAAAAGCAGCUCUGAAUGAUGGAUUACUGUGUCAUUGCAGCCUGCGAAGGAUUAAUUUGUUUCAUUGAUUUCUCUUUAGGCAGAUUGCCAGAAUUCUCUGCUUCCCACCUUUCCGUGGGACUUCCAGCAGUAAUAGACAGUAAUAGCCUAAGACAAAUCAGCCCGUUCUUGUAAAAAUAGAAACCCCAAAUCCUGAAGUCCCAGGAAAGCCAUAAAGAAGGUUUUUGUGUAUUGUGCUGAGAAACACCAAUUCUUAGAGUGAGCCCAUCUUCUCUCCUCUCCCCUCUCCCCUUUUACAGAAAAGGUCGCAGGGUGAUAGGAUGGGGGCUGUUUAGCCUCAAGAGCAAUUUCAACAAGCAGUUGCACGAGAACAGCGGGCAUUUGGCAGUUGCAGAAAAAUGUUUUGUUCAAGCUAAAAAAAGGGGUAGGAAUCACAGAAGGACUGAGUAAACCUCACAGUUCAUUCUUUCUUAAAACCACUGGGCUCCCUAUGGCUAAUCUAUUAUUGAUCCAUCUGCCUGUCUGGGGUAUUGAGAAGAUAUGCAGCUUAUAUCAGGUCCUGGAGUCACCGGUCUGAUGACCGGUGGGUGUGACUGGACUCUCCCAGAUCAAUUUGCCUGCGUGCUUUCAGGAUAAUCUGAUUGAAAAAUCAGGCCUUGAAGCCCUGGGAUGUGGAGGAGAAAGGGAGCCUGGCACCCUUUCCAGUGCAGGUUGUGGGAGAGCAAGGGGAGGAGAGGGGAGCCCACGCCGCGUGCAGCCCACUGCUACUAUUCUGACCACAGCACUGCUCUUUUCAGACCCACUUUACCCACAGCAGGCAUGGGUCAGCUAUGCUAAUCUAUUUGUUUCUACAACGUAACACUAAAAAUUGUGUUGAUUUAGCAUUCUCAAGUUAAAUUUUAGGUGUAAUUAGUCCUAUAGUAAAGAGCAUUGUAGUCAUCUGCUAAUGUCAUUCCAGCUCAGGCUUGUGUAAAGCUAUGCGGUGCCGAAACAGCACUUUUAGAUAGCAUGGAGGGUGGAGAAGCAUUUAUUUCACCUCUGUAUCUGCCUUGUGAUGAGAGUAACUCAAUAGGUAUGUUCAAGGGGGUGGUAAAUUUAUCAUACUGGGUAGCACAGUUCCACUGCAUUGUGAAGGAAAUCCUAUGAAAACCUGAAGUUACAGACCUCUCUUUUUUUUUUUUUCCCACUCCUGCUCUCCAGGAAGAUGUUAGCCUGCUACUUCCAAUUUUUAUUUACUGUAGUUUCAGGUCAAAUCCAAAUACCAGUACUUGGGUCACAGCAUGAUUUCCUUGAUAUCUUGCCAGAAAUCAUGGCUUGCCAUGCCUGAGCAAUGUUCUUGUGUUUACUUGCAUGAGACUUCGCCUCGAUGUGUAGAGUCUGACUUUUCCCUUCACCAUCUACCGUAGUUUCUGAAGGCACUGUAGCAGUAGUCAUAAAGGGGGUUAUGUGUUUGCUCCUGGGAAUCCCUAGAAAUGCCUACAUUGUCUGGGGAAACCCUGCAGUGUGGGUUAGCCUGCAGUAAGACAAGGGUGGCUGCCUCCAGGCUCGGCAGCCUGGAAAAUGGUGGUGUCCUGGGGAAUGCUGCAAGCUUCCCUUCAAAGGCUUCUCUGGUGUAAGAGCGACCCCCCUUUUCUGGCAUAAGACAGGAGCACUCUGCCUGGCAUUCCCGCUCCUGAUGGUUUUUCACUGUCAAGCGACUUUGAAAGGAAAGGCACAAAAUGCAGCAGUUCACAUUUUUCCUGCUCAGCCCAGGCCCCAGGGAAGCUUGGCUCUGAACACAGGGCUUGUCUUGCUUGGGUGCAAACCAUCCCCUCUGCCCCUUCCUCCUCACUGAUCCUUUUUUUGGCUCACACAGGGAAAUGCUUCUGCUCCUUUGAUAGGCAUUAAGGAAAGUUUUGCUCUUGGUAAAUAAUGAUAACAAUAUUCUUGGCUUGGAAAGUCUGAGUUAGGAGUGGAGACAGAUUUCCACCCCCAUCCCUCCCAUUUUCAAUAAAACAGGCAGAAUCUAUCACAGACCAAACUUAAAAAGCUUAAGUGGAGCUCACAUCCUUUCAUCCCUGCAGGACUGCAGAGAAACAGAGUCUGUUAGAUUAGCAAACAUUAACCUCUCGCAUAGUUCUGGAUGUAGGAUUAAUGUCUACUGAAGGGACAGCUGUAUGACCCUCACACAUACACUAACUAUACAUUAGGGCUGUCACUCUAUCGAUUGGGAGAAGUUUGUGUGAAGAAGCACUCCCCACCAGGGAGCAAAACAGACUAGAGCUGGAAAAAGCUAUUUGUGCUCUGCUAAGACAUAGUUUUAAGAACUCGGUUCCUGUUUCUGGCAUCCACAGUGCAGACAAGCUGAAAUCUGCAUGCUCCACCUCGAGGUUCUGCCACACACAGACCACACACAAUUUCCAGCUGUGACCCCGAGAUCAGCUCGUCUUUGGGCAAAACACAGACCUGUGCCAAUGCUGGAUCUGUAUAUAGAGCACUGCUUAGAUUCUGCCUACAUGAGGUUUUGAGUCCCCAUGGGAUUCUCACUGGCUGUACAUUAGCGUAUCUAUCCCCAUUUAGCUAAUUUGGAGGACACUUCUCUCGAAGAUUGUUGUUCCUUAUCAAUGUAUCUAAGAAAAAGAAGGAAUAGCGGUGAAUAAUGUGUUUGUCACACAUUCCUCCCAUUAAAAUAUGAAAACUCCAAGGUAUGAAAACUUCAAGGUAUGAAAACACAGGUUGAUUGUUUCCUAGGGUUUGCUGGAUUAGGUACAAACACUAGGCUUGUCUCUGGUCACACCCUAUUUUUAUGUUAGUCUAACUCUUCUCAUAACACAGGAAUUCCACAGAUGUAACAGCGGGUUCAGUACAUUUCUGAAAACAGACUUAUUAUAGCUAUUUAAAUGAAAAUAAAUGCUUAUUGUUUAAGCUUGUAUAUCAAACAUUAAUGGUUUCUUGGAGUCCAAUCCACACAAAUAUUUGGAUGUCAAAUAUUGAACUUUCCAGCCCUUGAUUAUAGGAGAAAUGGCUGUAUUCUGGGCUCCCAAGCAUCCCAGAGGAAGAAACGGGAGAGGCACAUCCACCAGUGCAAACUUGGUCAGUGUGCCUCGCAGUCUGUCCCUAACAGGGACACUGCUCAGCAGUGUGGCCCAUGCAGGGCCUUCAGCCAUCACUAGGUGCCUGCUGAAGGCAUCUGGAUGGAAAGAAAGCAUGCAAUGAGAUCGAGCUGGUGCCUUUUUAGCCAAGCUUGCUGUGUUUGGGGCACAUAAUGAGAAGAUGAGAUAUCCGAGACAAGACUGCAGGCAGAUGUGUCCCGUACAGUUGGUUGUACCCAGUCCAUGUUAGUACACGGAACAGAACAGAGCUGUGCUCUAUCAAAAGCGUUAAACUUUGGUUAAUUGUCAUAGAAUCACAGAAUUAUAGAAUGUUUUGGGUUGGAAAGGACCUCAGAGCUCAUCCAGUCUCACCUACGCUGCCCUGGGCAGGGGCACAUUCCACUGGAUCAGAGCCUGAAAGCCCCAUCCACCCUGGCUUUGAACACCUCCAGGGACGGGGCAGCCACCACUUCUCUACGCAACCUGGGCCAGGAACUCACAACCCUCACAGGAAAACAUUUCUUCCUGAUAUCCCAUCUAAAUCAAACCCCUUUUAGCUUAAAACAGUUCCCCCUCAUCCUAUCUCUGCACUCCCCGGUAAAGAGCCCCCCAAGCUUUCCUGGAGUUCCUUUCAGUACUGGAAGCUGCUCUAAAGUCUCUCUGAUGCCUUCUCUUCUCCAGGCUAAACAGCCCCAACUCUCUCAGCCUGUCAAAGUCUGAAUGGUCUCAUACGCAAAGUUUCGGAUGCCAGUUUAUCUUGGAGGGCUGCAGUAAGUUCUGCAUUCAUGUUCUUCUUCUGGAAUGGCACAGGCAGACUCCAGACCAGCUGCUGAGAGCUGAGGCAGUGUGGUAGAUCUGAGCUGCCAGGAGAUUUCUUUGGUGGGUACGGGGAUUAGGCAAAGUGGACCCCAGUCCCUUUGGGUAGAGGAAAUAGUUAAGCCACAAUUUGCAUCAACAAAGCUGAAAGGUCCCAAAAUGGCCCAAACCUGGUCCCUACAUGGUACCCGCCAGAGAAGAGAGUUGGUGACAUCCCAGAUGCAUGAAUUCAGGCUCAGCUUGAAAGGAUGAACUUGAGACCAGGAUGAACUUGAAACGCCAGCAUCUGACAUGAACAUUGCAGACUAGCGGUGCUUCCAAAGAAGCUACAGGCAUGAAUGCUGCUCAGUCCAGUGGUGGGGCAAAGCAGUCUCCUCUGAUGGGCACAGUGGGGAUUCGUGUCCUGCUAAGCCUAGAUCUGUCUCUUUAUAUUUUUUGUAUAAGACAAUUACUAGGCCCUGGCCCUGACUUCUGGAUAUUAUUAAAGGGAAGAUCCUGACUGUAAAGGUAAACAUUCAGUCAGACCUCUGCCAUGGUUUAUUUUUGGUGUGUUCAGCAGCAGGGACUAACUUUUUUUUUUGUUUCCGAGGGCCAUGCAUUUGUAGCUGUAUGUGUGGACAGGCAGUGAGCUACUGGUAUGUGAAAGCUGUGGAGACUUGCAAUGCCUCACACGAGGAGAUGGAGAUCGUCGACUCAUCUUGAAGUCAAUUAACUCAAAUGGCCAGGUGAAACAUUAGGAAAAAAUUGCUACAUCGAGGUACGCCAAAACUGGGCACCACGACUUCUCCAGAAACAUAUUUUCCUUUGAUUUUCCCAUUGAGACGUGAGGAUAACACAGCUGGUGUGUUGUGGGUCUCUUGAAAGUCUGCUGACAGUUAAUUGCAACUUUCCCAGUAGCUUAUUUGUUUAUAAAUUAGCUAGAAAUAUGAGGUUACUUAAUGUGAGAAAUGGCAUUCAAGUGGUUAACACUCACGCACUUCCGAACAGUAUUUGGAAAGGAAGUAUGGUCUCUUGCCCAUCCAUUAACCUCUGUUAUUAUGGGGCUUUUAUACUGGUAGCAGUAAAAUCCACCUCCCUGCUGCAAGUGUUGCUGUAUCAAAGAUCAAAGUUCUCUAGUUUGCAAAAACAUGGCAAGUAUAGCAUAAUUAAAUCUAUUUAUUUAGUUAGAAGUCUGUGUUUAAUGAAUAACAAAUUUCUGCUUGUCCACAAAUGGCAUGAAUGAAAACACCAAAUGAAUGAGCAGCAAAUUCUUGCAUCAGAUUUUACAGACAUCACUGUAUUUAAUGAUUCUUCAAUUUUUUUCAAGUGAGUAAAAAGUUAAAAGUUUGUGCUUACCUCAUUAGUGCCCCAUUACUACUACCACAGGCAACGUAUUAAAAAUGAUGGGAUCCUGCAAGAUUCCAGUGCUUUACAUAGCUGUUAAAAUUAGCUGCACCUUUAAUUUUUUUCAAUUUACACGUUAUACAGUUCUAGCUCUAAGCAGCUUUUCAUCAUUACUGUAUUCCAGGACAUCAAGACCAUCUCUAGUAAAUCAUAUCCAUGUGCUGGUGCAGAUCACGUCUGGGGAAAGGAGUCAUGGUGGUCUCAUCCCCA